AUUGCAGGCUGCAACUCGCCUGCAUGAAGUUGGAAUUGCUAGUAAUCGCGAAUCAGAAUGUCGCGGUGAAUACGUUCCCGGGCCUUGUACACACCGCCCGUCACACCAUGAGAGUCGAUAACACCCGAAGCCUGUGAGCUAACCGUAAGGAGGCAGCAGUCGAAGGCGGGGUUGAUGAUUGGGGUGAAGUCGUAACAAGGUACC
rnacentral:rRNA from 1 species